UCGUAGCCCCGAUUGCAGUGGAAAUCCUUUUUUGAAAAAAAAGAUUGCAACGGAAAGCGGGAAAAAGC
rnacentral:sRNA from 1 species